GCGGGGCUCUGUCCUCCAGGUGAGAUGUCUGCUCUGGGGCGGGGCUCUGUCCUCCAGGUGAGAUGUCUGCUCUGGGGCGGGGCUCGGGCUCUGUCCUCCAGGUGAUAUGUCUGCUCUGGGGUGGGGUUCGGGCUCUGUCCUCCAGGUGAUAUGUCUGCUCUGGGGCAGGUCAGGUGGGAUGUGUCCUCCCACCUAUUCAGGUUACCUCAC